GACGGAGUCGCCGCUCGGGNGGGACCAACGAUCGAAAGGUUGGCUAAUACCGCAUGAGUUCUACGGAAGAAAGAGGGGGACCCGCAAGGGCCUCUCGCGAGCGGAGCGGCCGAUGACUGAUUAGCCUGUUGGUGAGGUAACGGCUCACCAAAGCAACGAUCAGUAGCUGGUCUGAGAGGACGACCAGCCACACUGGGACUGAGACACGGCCCAGACUCCUACGGGAGGCAGCAG
rnacentral:rRNA from 1 species